rnacentral:rRNA from 1 species
ACUCCUACGGGAGGCAGCAGUGGGGAAUAUUGCACAAUGGGCGCAAGCCUGAUGCAGCCAUGCCGCGUGUAUGAAGAAGGCCUUCGGGUUGUAAAGUACUUUCAUGCAGUGAGGAAGGUGGAUAUGUUAAUAGCAUAUUCAUUUGACGUUAGCAACAGAAGAAGCACCGGCUAACUCCGUGCCAGCAGCCGCGGUAAUACGGAGGGUGCGAGCGUUAAUCGGAAUUACUGGGCGUAAAGCGCAUGCAGGUGGUUUGUUAAGUCUGAUGUGAAAGCCCCCGGCUUAACCGGGGAGGGUCAUUGGAAACUGGAAGACUGGAUGCAGAAGAGGAGAGUGGAAUUCCACGUGUAGCGGUGAAAUGCGUAGAUAUGUGGAGGAGCACCNGUGGCGAAGGCGACUCUCUGGUCUGUAACUGACGCUGAGGCGCGAAAGCGU